UACGUAGGGUGCAAGCGUUGUCCGGAAUUAUUGGGCGUAAAGAGCUCGUAGGCGGUUUGUCGCGUCGAAUGUGAAAACCCGGGGCUCAACCCCGGGCCUGCAUUCGAUACGGGCAGACUAGAGUUCGGUAGGGGAGUCUGGAAUUCCUGGUGUAGCGGUGAAAUGCGCAGAUAUCAGGAGGAACACCGGUGGCGAAGGCGGGACUCUGGGCCGAUACUGACGCUGAGGAGCGAAAGCGUGGGUAGCGAACAGG
rnacentral:rRNA from 1 species